UACGAACUGUGCAAACGUUAUUCGGAAUCACUGGGCUUAAAGGGUGCGUAGGCGGCUUGUUAAGUAGGGUGUGAAAUCCCCCGGCUCAACCGGGGAAUUGCGCCCUAAACUGGCGAGCUGGAGUGAGAUAGGGGUGUGUGGAACUUCCAGUGGAGCGGUGAAAUGUGUUGAUAUUGGAAGGAACGCCAGUGGCGAAAGCGACACACUGGGUCUCAACUGACGCUGAGGCACGAAAGCUAGGGGAGCAAACAGG
rnacentral:rRNA from 1 species